GUUUGUGUGAUCUGGCUGUGACAUCUGUCAGCCCAUUUAUUGCCAGGAUUGAUUUGGCUGAUCUGGCUGGCUGGAUGGGUGUUCCUUUCCUCUCUCACUGCUCCAUGUGUGUCCCUCCUGAAGCUGCAUGCUUGCUCAAAGAGGAUGACUGUCCCCACUAAAGGUCAAGGGUGUAGGAGUUGCUGUGCUCCCCUGCUAGAACCUCCAAACAAGUCCUCAAGAUUGCAUUUUAGAAGUAUCUUUAGACCUGACUUCUGCAAUCAUUUUUACAUUGCCAGCUUUGGAUUCCAGAGGAGCCCUGGAUCUCU
rnacentral:snRNA from 1 species